rnacentral:rRNA from 1 species
UAUUUAAGUUGUUGCAGUUAAAAAGCUCGUAGUUGGAUUUCGGUUGAGAGCGGCCGGUCCGCCGUUUGGUGUGCACUGGCUGGUUUCAGCUUCCUGCAGAGGACGCGCUCUGGGCUUAAUCGUCUGGACGUGGAGUCUGCGUGGUUACUUUGAAAAAAUUAGAGUGUUCAAAGCGGGCUUACGCUUGAAUAUUUCAGCAUGGAAUAACACUAUAGGACUCCUGUCCUAUUUCGUUGGUCUCGGGACGGGAGUAAUGAUUAAGAGGAACAGUUGGGGGCAUUCGUAUUUCAAUGUCAGAGGUGAAAUUCUUGGAUUUUUGAAAGACGAACUUCUGCGAAAGCAUUUGCCAAGGAUGUUUUCAUUAAUCAAGAACGAAAGUUGGGGGCUCGAAGAUGAUUAGAUACCAUCCUAGUCUCAACCAUAAACGAUGCCGACUAGGGAUUGGCGGAUGUUAAUUGAUGACUCCGCCAGCACCUUAUGAGAAAUCAAAGUUUUUGGGUUCCGGGGGGAGUAUGGUCGCAAGGCUGAAACUUAAAGGAAUUG